rnacentral:rRNA from 1 species
UUUGGUAAGUAAAAAUCGUAACAAGGUUUCCGUAGGUGAACCUGCGGAAGGAUCAUUACUGAGUGAGGGCCCUCUGGGUCCAACCUCCCACCCGUGUUUAACGAACCUUGUUGCUUCGGCGGGCCCGCCUCACGGCCGCCGGGGGGCAUCCGCCCCCGGGCCCGCGCCCGCCGAAGACACCUGUGAACUCUGUCUGAAGUUGCAGUCUGAGAAACUAUUUAAAUUAGUUAAAACUUUCAACAACGGAUCUCUUGGUUCCGGCAUCGAUGAAGAACGCAGCGAAAUGCGAUAAAUAAUGUGAAUUGCAGAAUUCAGUGAAUCAUCGAGUCUUUGAACGCACAUUGCGCCCUCUGGUAUUCCGGAGGGCAUGCCUGUCCGAGCGUCAUUGCUGCCCUCAAGCACGGCUUGUGUGUUGGGCCCCGUCCCCCCCCUCCCGGGGGGACGGGCCCGAAAGGCAGCGGCGGCACCGCGUCCGGUCCUCGAGCGUAUGGGGCUUUGUCACCCGCUCUUGUAGGCCCGGCCGGCGCUUGCCGACCCCCUCAAUCUAUUUUUCAGGUUGACCUCGGAUCAGGUGAGACC